rnacentral:rRNA from 1 species
AACGAACGCCGGCGGCAUGCCUAACACAUGCAAGUCGAACGAGACCUUCGGGUCUAGUGGCGCACGGGUGCGUAACGCGUGGGAAUCUACCCUUGGGUUCGGAAUAACAGUUAGAAAUGACUGCUAAUACCGGAUGAUGACGUAAGUCCAAAGAUUUAUCGCCCAAGGAUGAGCCCGCGUAAGAUUAGCUUGUUGGUGGGGUAAUGGCCUACCAAGGCGAGGAUCUUUAGCUGGUGUGAGAGGAUGAUCAGCCACACUGGGACUGAGACACGGCCCAGACUCCUACGGGAGGCAGCAGUGGGGAAGAUUGGACAAUGGGCGACAGCUUGAUCCAGCAAUGCCGCGUGGGUGAUGAAGGCCUUAGGGUUGUAAAGCUCUUUUACCAGGGAUGAUAAUGACAGUACCUGGAGAAUAAGCUCCGGCUAACUCCGUGCCAGCCGCCGCCGUAA